GAUGAAGAACGCAGCGAAAUGCGAUAAGUAAUGUGAAUUGCAGAAUUCAGUGAAUCAUCGAAUCUUUGAACGCACAUUGCGCCCCUUGGUAUUCCGAGGGGCAUGCCUGUUCGAGCGUCAUUAUAACCCCUCAAGCUCAGCUUGGUGUUGGGGCCUGCUGCACUGGCAGCCCUUAAAAUCAGUGGCGGCGCCAUCUGGCUCUAAGCGUAGUAAUUCUUCUCGCUAUGGAGUCCUGGUGGAUGCUUGCCAUCAACCCCCAAUUUUUCUAUGGUUGACCUCGGAUCAGGUAGGGAUACCCGCUGAACUUAAGCAUACCAAUAAGCGGAGGA
rnacentral:misc_RNA from 1 species